AGUUUUGACUCACCAUAUUUUUAUCAUUCCAACAAAAGCUUGAAUGGGCAUAGUUAUCGACUAAGUCAACCUUCAUCUGUCAAAAGGUACCUCCAGAUGGAAUCGAGUAAACAAGCGUUAUUUACUACUGAAUUGGUAUUUAAUAUUUACAGUGGUAGUUACGCCACAAGCUGACUAAAUAUUACUUCACAUUCCGAUCUCAAAGUUCGGCUUCAUUUCUCAUUCCGACAUCAAAAUUUGAAGCAAUCAUCAUCCAUAAUAUUUACCGAUUCAUCUGUCAUAAUCCGUCAAGCCAAAAACGUUAAGUUGGCAGUACCAGAGUCACAGGUACAGAAGCUUUUUAAAACUACGUAAGUAUCCGCAGUUAUUCUGUUUAUGUGCAAAAAUGGCAAAAGAUAUAAAGUGAAUACGAAAAAUAAAUUAUGCAUGUUGUGUAAUUCACCAGCGCAAAAUAGUGUGUCGGCAAAGUUAUGCAGUCAAAUAACUAAACUUUAAAUUUAUAAGUAAAUUUUUUUUUAAUAACUUUUUUCUUGCUUAGAAAAACGUUGUUCUGUCUAAUAUAUAUUUUAAAUACAGUUUGUACUUAAAAAGAUAUCCAGAAAUUUAAAUCCUAAAGACCCCUGUGGUAGAAUUUUUUUGGGCUUUCUGCUACAUACCUCUCUAGCAUUAAUAACUUUCUGCAAGAUACUAUUAAUAAUAACUAAUAUAUAUGUUAUUAAUUAAAUUUAAAGUAACAGUAUUUACAAAGAAAAGCCUAUUUGGAUAUAAUGAAAUUGAAAGUAUUUUUUUUAAAAAUGAAUAUGUAAUAUUUUUUAUUCUAAUAUCGUGGGUGAUAUUCUCACAUUUUGAAAGAGGAACACGAAGAAAUAUUUUGUACACACUAAAUAUUUCUUUUUUCGCAUUUCACAAAUCAUCAUCACAUAAAAAAAUAAUAAUUAAAAAUUAGUAUUAAUAAUAAUUAAAAAUUAGAAGAAGAAAAGAAAACCAAAAUUUUUUUAUUUUUGGAAUUAAGAAAAAUCAUGAGUAUUUUCUUCCCCUCUGAUGCUUGAAAAGGGUAUCUCUUGAGUAUAAUUGUGGAGG